AGGUUCGGUACAACCGCGGGAUAUCUGCGCUCUGUAUACCGAAUGGUGCCCUCCUGUAUAGCGAUAUUUGGGGGGUAAAGACUUGUUCGCCUUGGAAUGGGCCCGUCGUCGGAUUAGUUUGUUUGUGGGGUAACGGCCUACCAAGCCUGCGAUCCGUAGCCGGUCUGAGAGGAUGAUCGGCCACACUGGGANCUGAGACACGGCCCAGACUCGUACGGGAGGCAGCAGUGGGGAAUCUUGGACAAUGGGCGCAAGCCUGAUCCAGCGACGCCGCGUGGGUGACGAAGGCCUUCGGGGUUUGUUAAGCCCUUUUCCUCGGCGACGAAUGAUGAUGGUAGCCGAGGAAUAAGGAACCGGCUAAACUCCGUGCCAGCAGCCGGCGGUAAGAACGGAGGGUCCUAGCUUG
rnacentral:rRNA from 1 species